UCAUUAAGGAGGUGAAGUUCCUGCAGAAACUUCAGCAUCCCAACACCAUCGAGUAUCAAGGCUGUUACUUGAAAGAGCACACGGCAUGGCUGGUGAUGGAGUACUGCCUCGGCUCGGCCUCAGACCUCUCGAAGUCCACAAAAAGCCCCUCCAGGAGGUUGAAAUAGCUGCUAUUACCAUGGUGCUCUGCAGGGAUUAGCAUUCUUCACUCUCACAAUAUGAUUCACAGG